CCCUUAGAUGUUCUGGGCCGCACGCGCGCUACACUGAUGCAUUCAACGAGUCUAAAACCUGCUCUGAUAGGGGUGGGUAAUCUUUUGAAUGUGCAUCGUGAUUGGGAUAGAUGAUUGCAAUUUUUCAUCUUCAACGAGGAAUGCCUAGUAAACGCAAGUCAUCAGCUUGCAUUGAUUACGUCCCUGCCCUUUGUACACACCGCCCGUCGCUCCUACCGAUUGAAUGAUCCGAUGAAUAUCAUGGAUUGAGGAUGUAAGCAGGUUCGCCUAUCUUCAUCUUCGAGAAGUGAAGUAAAUCUUAUCAUUUAGAGGAAGGAGAAGUCGUAACA
rnacentral:rRNA from 1 species